rnacentral:rRNA from 1 species
AGAGUUUGAUCCUGGCUCAGGAUGAACGCUAGCGGCAGGCUUAAUACAUGCAAGUCGAGGGGCAGCACAGGUAGCAAUACUGGGUGGCGACCGGCAAACGGGUGCGGAACACGUACGCAACCUUCCUUUAAGUGUGGGAUAGCCCAGGGAAACUUGGAUUAAUACCACGUAAUAUAGUUGGAUGGCAUCAUUUGACUAUU